rnacentral:tRNA from 1 species
GCCUUCGUGGUGUAGUGGUCUGCAUGAUCGAUGCGUAACCGAGAGGUCCGUGGUUCGAUUCCCGGCGAAGGCG